rnacentral:lncRNA from 10 species
GAACAACUUUCAGCCGGAGGACUAGAGGAAAUAGUUGUAGGGGAGGAAAAAUUGUUUCCUUCUAGCCUUUUAGGUCAUUUGGCUGGUCUACAAAUUAAAUUGAUGUAAGACAGAGGAACAUGAGAAAAACGAUUUGUCGACCGAAAGGUGAAAUAACAGGAUUUUAAACAUUUUGUAGACGAUAACAUUCGUCUUGAAGCUGUGGACAAUCUAAAACAGAAAUGGAGUUCCAAAUUUUGUUUUUGUAAUAUGGCCCGUCAACUGCACAUGGGAAGAAUGUGGGUACUCUGAAAUAUGAUUUCUAUUUUAACUAGUUAUACUAUAUCAUAGGUCUGAUUAUCAUCUAUAUGAGAUGUUAAAGCUGUAGGAGUAUAGUCAAUUAGACUACAAACCCUGGUAGUAAAUUUCCAGGAGGAAAGGGGUCCAUAUGUUUUUUAUAAGUGUAAACCUUGUGUUUCUGAAUCUAAGAGGGUUGGCCAUGUUUGGAGACUAUUUCAGCUUCUAUGUGAAUUAACAUAUUAAUUAUUCUUGUUGAAAGACAUGGAAGAUCUUGAUAUGGUUUGACCCUGUAUCCUCACCCACAUCUUAUUUUGAAUUAUACUCCCAUAAUUCCCAUGUGUUGUGGGAGGGACCUGGUGGGAGAUAAUUGAAUCAUUGGGGUGUUUUCUUCCAUACUGUUUUCGUGGUAGUGACUUAAGUAUCAGGAGAUCUGAUGGUUUUAUCAGGGUUUUCGCUUUUGCGUCUUCCUCAUUCUCUCUUUGUCUGCUCCCAUCCAUGUAAGAUGGGACUUGCUCCCUGCCUUCCACUAUGAUUGUGAGGCUUCCCCAGCCACGUGGAACUGGAAGUCCAAUUAAAC